rnacentral:rRNA from 1 species
CCUACGGGUGGCAGCAGUGGGGGAUAUUACACAAUGGGGGAAACCCUGAUGCAGCGACGCCGCGUGUGGGAAGACGGUCCUCUGGAUUGUAAACCACUGUCCCCAGGGACGAAGAUGACGGUACCUGACUAAGAAGCCCCGGCUAACUACGUGCCAACAGCCGCGGUAAUACGUAGGGGGCAAGCGUUAUCCGGAUUUACUGGGUGUAAAGGGAGCGUAGACGGCGCGGCAAGUCUGAAGUGAAAGGCAGGGGCUUAACCCCUGAACUGCUUUGGAAACUGGCAUGCUAGAGUGCUGGAGAGGUAAGUGGAAUUCCUGGUGUAGCGGUGAAAUGCGUAGAUAUUAGGAGGAACACCAGUGGCGAAGGCGGCUUACUGGACAGUAACUGACGUUGAGGCUCGAAAGCGUGGGGAGCAAACAGGAUUAGAUACCCCAGUAGUC